GCCGGACAACUUCCUUGUCCCCAGGGUGGCGGAGCGCUGGAACAGGCUACCGGGGAGGUUGUGGAGUGCCCCUCUCUGGAGCCAUUCAAAACCCACCUGGAUAUGUUCCUGUGUCACCCGCUCUGGGUGACCCUGCCUCAGCAGGGGUGUUGGUCUGGAUUAUCUCCAAAAGUCCCUUCCAACCCUAACGAUUCUGUGAUACUGUAUUUCUGUCUUUUAUUCUAGUUUGCUCAAAGCCGGGAAUCAGGAGGUAACCCACGAAAGGCUGGCUCUGUGAUCAUGAAUCCUCUACACUAUUUAUACCUUUUAACAAACAAAGGCAUCAGCAUUUGUUGUCUAUUCUGUGCUGCCUUAAGGCAUCACCCCAGCACAGGGGACACACACACCCCAGCACAGUGGAGGAGAAUGGGAGGCCAGCAGGCAGGACCAACCACCAGGGGUCAUCCUGGCUGCACCCACACCCCUCCCCAGAGAGAGGUGGCACAUGCAAUAAAUUCUGUGUAAAAUCUC